GACGUAGGGUGCAAGCGUUGUCCGGAUUGACUGGGCGUAAAGCGCACGCAGGCGGUUGCGCGCGUGGGGUGUGAAAUCUGGCCGCUUAACGGCCAGGCGCCAUCCCAUACGGCGCGACUGGAGUGAUGCAGAGGUCGAUGGAAUUGCCGGUGUAGUGGUGAAAUGCGUAGAGAUCGGCAGGAACACCCCAGGGGGAAACCAGUCGACUGGGCAUCUACUGACGCUGAGGUGCGAGAGCGUGGGGAGCGAACCGG
rnacentral:rRNA from 1 species